AUACGUAGGGUGCGAGCGUUGUCCGGAAUUACUGGGCGUAAAGAGCUCGUAGGUGGUUUGUCGCGUCGUCUGUGAAAUUCCGGGGCUUAACUCCGGGCGUGCAGGCGAUACGGGCAUAACUUGAGUACUGUAGGGGAGACUGGAAUUCCUGGUGUAGCGGUGAAAUGCGCAGAUAUCAGGAGGAACACCGGUGGCGAAGGCGGGUCUCUGGGCAGUAACUGACGCGGAGGAGCGAAAUCAUGGAUAGCGACCAGUAUGAGAUACCCUGGUAGUCUAUGCCGUAAACGGUGGGCGCUAGGUGUAGGGGUCUUCCACGACUUCUGUGCCGUAGCUAACGCAUUAAGCGCCCCGCCUGGGGAGUACGGCCGCAAGGCUAAAACUCAAAGGAAUUGACGGGU
rnacentral:rRNA from 1 species